CCACGCCCUAAACGAUGUCUACUAGUUGUCGGGUCUUAAUUGACUUGGUAACGCAGCUAACGCGUGAAGUAGACCGCCUGGGGAGUACGGUCGCAAGAUUAAAACUCAAAGGAAUUGACGGGGACCCGCACAAGCGGUGGAUGAUGUGGAUUAAUUCGAUGCAACGCGAAAAACCUUACCUACCCUUGACAUGUCAGGAACCUCCGAGAGAUUGGAGGGUGCCCGAAAGGGAGCCUGAACACAGGUGCUGCAUGGCUGU
rnacentral:rRNA from 1 species